rnacentral:rRNA from 1 species
GACGAACGCUGGCGGCGUGCUUAACACAUGCAAGUCGAACGGAAAGGCCCUGCUUUUGUGGGGUGCUCGAGUGGCGAACGGGUGAGUAACACGUGAGUAACCUGCCCUUGACUUUGGGAUAACUUCAGGAAACUGGGGCUAAUACCGGAUAGGAGCUCCUGCUGCAUGGUGGGGGUUGGAAAGUUUCGGCGGUUGGGGAUGGACUCGCGGCUUAUCAGCUUGUUGGUGGGGUAGUGGCUUACCAAGGCUUUGACGGGUGGCCGGCCUGCGAGGGUGACCGGCCACAUUGGGACUGAGAUACGGCCCAGACUCCUACGGGAGGCAGCAGUGGGGAAUAUUGCACAAUGGGCGGAAGCCUGAUGCAGCAACGCCGCGUGCGGGAUGACGGCCUUCGGGUUGUAAACCGCUUUCGCCUGUGACGAAGCGUGAGUGACGGUAAUGGGUAAAGAAGCACCGGCUAACUACGUG